AAAGCUACCGGUGGGUGAGUAGCUACAAGGCCUGCCCUUGUCUCUCUGCAGAGUGGCCCUGCCGCAGCUGGAGCUUGGCCGCCCUCCUGGCGCCCCUCAGACUUAGCGGCCUGGGCGCCUGUGACAGGCUCAUCUUCCAGCGUGACGGUGGCUCCGACCGGGUGCCCGAGGCGGUCCCACGGCGCCUCUCCUGCACUUGCCCGUUCACCUGCUUACGAUGGAGAGGCUGCAGCCCAGAGAAACAGUGUCUCACCAGAGAGCCACAGCAAGUCACCUCCUGGCUCUUGAGCCUCUGCCGGGUGGCAUGGCUGACCACCCACUCAGGCAGCAAGAGCGUCUCCUGCCUCUGCUGGAAAAGAUCAUCCCCUUGGGCAGCUGACGAAAGCCAACUCUGUUUGUCCAGGCCACGAGGUUUUUGCUUAGCUUCCCGCCAUCUGUUCAGCGCUCCCCAACUUCCCACCCGCCCGCAGGCUGAUUGAGCUACCACG